AUUGAACGCUGGCGGCAGGCUUAACACAUGCAAGUCGAGCGGGGUGAUGGUGCUUGCACUAUCACUUAGCGGCGGACGGGUGAGUAAUGCUUAGGAAUCUGCCUAUUAGUGGGGGACAACAUCUCGAAAGGGAUGCUAAUACCGCAUACGUCCUACGGGAGAAAGCAGGGGAUCACUUGUGACCUUGCGCUAAUAGAUGAGCCUAAGUCGGAUUAGCUAGUUGGUGGGGUAAAGGCCUACCAAGGCGACGAUCUGUAGCGGGUCUGAGAGGAUGCUCCGCCACACUGGGACGGAGACACUGCCCAGACUCCUACGGGAGGCAGCAGUGGGGAAUAUUGGACAAUGGGGGGAACCCUGAUCCAGCCAUGCCGCGUGUGUGAAGAAGGCCUUAUGGUUGUAAAGCACUUUAAGCGAGGAGGAGGCUCUUUUGGUUAAUACCCAAGAUGAGUGGACGUUACUCGCAGAAUAAGCACCGGCUAACUCUGUGCCAGCCGCCGCCGUAA
rnacentral:rRNA from 1 species